rnacentral:lncRNA from 1 species
UUAAUUAAGUCUCUUUUGUAUUGUAAAAUCUAGAUGUUGAAGUGAUCUAUAAAUGGUGUAAUGUUAAUGUUUUUUUAUUAAUAUUAAGUAUUAAAAGUUUAAUAUCAUAUAUAAAUCAGUAACACAAUUGUGUUGUUAAAGUGCAUCAUUGAUAUGGUCUGAUAGGUAAAGUGCUUUUGAAAGGUAUGAUUCACAUUUUG